GGCACGGUGGUUCAGUUGGUAGAACUUCUGCCUCUCAAGCAGAUCGCCCUGGUUCAAAUCCUGGCCGAGGGCCU